rnacentral:rRNA from 1 species
UGAGGAAUAUUGGUCAAUGGGCGGGAGCCUGAACCAGCCAAGCCGCGUGAGGGAAGAAGGCCUUAUGGGUCGUAAACCUCUUUUAUCAGGGAACAAAAGCGAGUAUGUAUACUAGUCUGAGUGUACCUGAAGAAAAAGCAUCGGCUAACUCCGUGCCAGCAGCCGCGGUAAUACGGAGGAUGCGAGCGUUAUCCGGAUUUAUUGGGUUUAAAGGGUGCGUAGGCGGCGAUGCAAGUCAGCGGUAAAAGCCCGGGGCUCAACCCCGGCGAGCCGUUGAAACUGCAGUGCUAGAGAAGGCGAGAGGUACGCGGAAUGCGCAGUGUAGCGGUGAAAUGCUUAGAUAUUGCGCAGAACUCCGAUUGCGAAGGCAGCGUACUGGCGCCUGACUGACGCUGAGGCUCGAAAGCGUGGGGAGCAAACAGGAUUAGAUACCC